GCCUGGGUGGCUCAGUGGUUGAGCAUCUGCCUUUGGUUCAGGUUGUGAUCUCAGGGUCCUGGGAUCAAGUCCCACAUCAGGCU
rfam:Canis lupus familiaris chromosome 1, whole genome shotgun sequence.